AUUGAACGCUGGCGGCAUGCCUUACACAUGCAAGUCGAACGGCAGCAUGGAGAGCUUGCUCUCUGAUGGCGAGUGGCGAACGGGUGAGUAAAGCAUCGGAACGUACCGUGUAGUGGGGGAUAACGUAGCGAAAGUUACGCUAAUACCGCAUACGCACUGAGGUGGAAAGCAGGGGAUCGCAAGACCUUGCGCUAUACGAGCGGCCGAUGUCAGAUUAGCUAGUUGGUAGGGUAAAGGCCUACCAAGGCGACGAUCUGUAGCGGGUCUGAGAGGAUGAUCCGCCACACUGGGACUGAGACACGGCCCAGACUCCUACGGGAGGCAGCAGUGGGGAAUUUUGGACAAUGGGGGCAACCCUGAUCCAGCCAUGCCGCGUGAGUGAAGAAGGCCUUCGGGUUGUAAAGCUCUUUCGGCCGGGAAGAAAUCGCACAGGCUAAUAUCCUGUGUGGAUGACGGUACCGGCAUAAGAAGCACCGGCUAACUACGUG
rnacentral:rRNA from 1 species